AAAAUGUCAAUCAUAAAACUCAAAACUGUAAUCCACAAAACUGGAGUUUCAACUUCUCCCCAGGUUGCCGCUGUGUUUGCAAUUAAUUUGGUCUAAUGUGGUUGUUAUUCCAUUUAAUAACAGCUAUUUAGGCAAAUAAAACCUCUCUACCACGCUGAAAAUAGUAUUUUAUCAAACAUUAGGAGUCUAUACCAUUGUAUUCUGUUCUCUCCACAAGCUAUUUCCAGUGCCAUUAACUAAGUGCCAACUAACUCUUGACUGAAAUACUGGUUUACUCUAAACUCCUUAUUUUGUCCCCAGUGCUAAUCCUACUCACGUAGAAGCAGCAGGAAGCAUCUAGAAUAUCCUGCUACCUGGUUUUCUAGGCAACAAGCUAUGAACAGGUCUUACUGUCUUUUGUGUUGCCUAAUCUUUCUAAGUUUGUCUUGGAUUGUUUCAGAUGCCAAACAGCCAAACAAAUCAGAAAGUUU
rnacentral:lncRNA from 1 species